AAAGAUCGAAUAGGGAGACUCAUCGAUAACGGAGGCUGGCUUCCGUUGACGCGCGAUACCCCGAAUGGUUCCCUUCGUGGUUCCAAUGCGAGGGUACACCGUCUUCGGCAAAUGUUCCGGCAACGUAGUUGUGCACUUCUCCCUUUGUAGAACGUCGCGACCCGUUGCGUGUCGGUCUACGGCACGAGUUUUUUUCGUUGCCUGUCGCGUCGCCUUCGUGCGUACACGGCAGACGCUCGAUCGCCUGGCCGGCUGCGCGACGGUACUCUCUGACGGUAUCGGGCCGCAACCAAUCCAUUUUUUUUUCGAAUAAUGUAUGUGCGUCAGGCCCGCCGCAAGCUCGGUUAGUAAUCCACCCGGAUGGUACGGACCUGGUGCCGGCUCCGGGCCUAGCCAGCUGUUGGCAGGCGGUGUCCUCGGACUGGCCAAGCUUUGAAUUACCGGUCAGCGACGCUACUGCUUUGGGUCCUCUCAGGACCCGUCUUGAAACACGGACCAAGGAGUCUAACAUGUGCGCGAGUCAUUGGGACUUGUUUGAAACCUAAAGGCAUAAUGAAAGUAAAAGUUGACCUUUGCGUCGACCGAGGGAGGAUGGGCCGCGUCACGAUGCGGCCUCGCACUCCCGGGGCGUCUCGUUGUCAUUGCGAGAAGAG
rnacentral:rRNA from 1 species